UUGAACGCUGGCGGCAUGCCUUACACAUGCAAGUCGAACGGUAACAGCUCUUCGGAGGCUGACGAGUGGCGAACGGGUGAGUAAUACAUCGGAACGUGCCCGAUCGUGGGGGAUAACGGAGCGAAAGCUUUGCUAAUACCGCAUACGAUCUACGGAUGAAAGCAGGGGACCCUCGGGCCUUGCGCGAACGGAGCGGCCGAUGGCAGAUUAGGUAGUUGGUGGGAUAAAAGCUUACCAAGCCGACGAUCUGUAGCUGGUCUGAGAGGACGACCAGCCACACUGGGACUGAGACACGGCCCAGACUCCUACGGGAGGCAGCAGUGGGGAAUUUUGGACAAUGGGCGAAAGCCUGAUCCAGCAAUGCCGCGUGCAGGAUGAAGGCCUUCGGGUUGUAAAGCUCUUUCAGACGGAAAGAAAACGCAUCGGUGAAUACCCGGUGUGGAUGACGGUACCGUAAGAAGAAGCACCGGCUAACUACGU
rnacentral:rRNA from 1 species